UACUUGGAUACUGUGGCAAUUCUAGAGCUAAUACACGCACACAAGCCGCAACCUUACGGGAGCGGUGCAUUUAUUAGAACAAAACCAAUCGGGGCAACCCGUCUAUUGGUGAAUCUGAAUAACCCAGCUGAUCGCACGGUCUUUGCACCGGCGACGCAUCUUUCAAGUGUCUGCCUUAUCAACUUUCGACGGUAGUUUAUGUGACUACCGUGGUUAUAACGGGUAACGGAGAAUAAGGGUUCGACUCCGGAGAGGGAGCCUGAGAAACGGCUACCACAUCCAAGGAAGGCAGCAGGCGCGCAAAUUACCCACUCUCAGCACGAGGAGGUAGUGACGAAAAAUAACGAGGCGGUUCUCUUUGAGGCCCGCUAUCGGAAUGAGAACAAUUUAAAUCCUUUAACGAGGAUCUAGCGGAGGGCAAGUCUGGUGCCAGCAGCCGCGGUAAUUCCAGCUCCGCCAGUGUAUAUCUAUGCUGCUGCGGUUAAAAAGCUCGUAGUUGGAUCUGCGUGCUAGGAACCGGUCCGUCCACUGGGCGAGAACUGGUCUCCGGCAUUAUAACCGCUGGUUUUCCCUCGGUGCUCUUAACCGGGUGCCUUGGGUGGCUAGCAAGUUUACUUUGAAAAAAUUAGAGUGCUCAACACAGGCGUCAGCCUUGAAUACUAGUGCAUGGAAUAAUAGAAUAGGACUUCGGUUCUGUUUUGUUGGUUUUCGGAACAGAAGUAAUGAUUAAGAGGGACAGACGGGGGCAUUUGUACUGCGACGUUAGAGGUGAAAUUCUUGGAUCGUCGCAUGACAAACAACUGCGAAAGCAUUUGCCAAGAAUGUUUCAUAAUCAGAACG
rnacentral:rRNA from 1 species